rnacentral:rRNA from 1 species
GUGGAACCUUCUGGAAAGUUGGGCCGUAGCGGGUGAUAGCCCCGUACACGUAAUGCGGAUCUGAGGCCUCGAGUAGGGCGGGACACGUGAAAUCCUGUUCGAACAUGGGGGGACCACCCUCCAAGCCUAAGUACUCCUUACCGACCGAUAGCGAACCAGUACCGUGAGGGAAAGGUGAAAAGCACCCCGACAAGGGGAGUGAAAUAGACCUGAAACCGAAUGCCUACAAACAGUCGGAGCCCGCAAGGGGUGACGGCGUACCUUUUGUAUAAUGGGUCUGCGACUUAGUCUGACGAGCAAGCUUAAGGCGAUAGCUGUAGGCGAAGCGAAAGCGAGUCUGAACAGGGCGUUCAGUUCGUCGGACUAGACCCGAAACCAGUCGAUCUAUCCAUGGCCAGGUUGAAAGUAGGGUAACACCUACUGGAGGACCGAACCGGUGCCUGUUGAAAAAGUCUCGGAUGAGCUGUGGAUAGGGGUGAAAGGCCAAUCAAGGCUGGAAAUAGCUGGUUCUCCGCGAAAUCUAUUUAGGUAGAGCCUCGAGUGAAUACCCCAGGGGUAGAGCACG